rnacentral:rRNA from 1 species
GAGUUUGAUCGUGGCUCAGGACGAACGCUGGCGGCGCGCCUAACACAUGCAAGUCGAACGGAGAAAUGCUAAGCUUGCUUUGCAUUUCUUAGUGGCGGACGGGUGAGUAACACGUGAGCAACCUGCCUUUGUGAGGGGAAUAACGUCUGGAAACGGACGCUAAUACCGCAUAACGUCAAGGAACCGCAUGGUUUUUUGACCAAAGAUUUUAUCGCACAAAGAUGGGCUCGCGGCUGAUUAGCUAGUUGGCGGGGUAACGGCCCACCAAGGCGACGAUCAGUAGCCGGACUGAGAGGUUGAUCGGCCACAUUGGGACUGAGACACGGUCCAAACUCCGUACGGGAGCAGCAGUGAGGAAUAUU